rnacentral:rRNA from 1 species
CGGACGGGUGAGUAAUGUCUGGGAAACUGCCUGAUGGAGGGGGAUAACUACUGGAAACGGUAGCUAAUACCGCAUAACGUCGCAAGACCAAAGAGGGGGACCUUCGGGCCUCUUGCCAUCGGAUGUGCCCAGAUGGGAUUGGCUAGUAGGUGGGGUAAAGGCUCACCUAGGCGACGAUCCCUAGCUGGUCUGAGAGGAUGACCAGCCACACUGGAACUGAGACACGGUCCAG